rnacentral:rRNA from 1 species
UGGGGAAUAUUGGACAAUGGGGGCAACCCUGAUCCAGCCAUGCCGCGUGAGUGAUGAAGGCCUUCGGGUUGUAAAGCUCUUUUGGCGGGGACGAUGAUAACGGUACCCGCAGAAUAAGCCCCGGCUAACUUCGUGCCAGCAGCCGCGGUAAGACGAAGGGGGCUAGCGUUGUUCGGAAUUACUGGGCGUAAAGCGAGUGUAGGCGGUUGCCGUAGUCAGGUGUGAAAGCCUUGAGCUCAACUCAAGAAAUGCACUUGAUACUGGGUGACUAGAGGACCGGAGAGGAUAGUGGAAUUCCCAGUGUAGUGGUGAAAUACGUAGAGAUUGGGAAGAACACCAGUGGCGAAGGCGGCUAUCUGGACGGUUACUGACGCUAAGACUCGAAAGCGUGGGGAGCAAACAGGAUUAGAUACCCUGGUAGUCCACGCCGUAAAACGAUGGGUGCUAGACGUUGGCGAGCUUGCUCGUCAGUGUCGCAGCUAACGCGUUAAGCACCCCGCCUGGGGAGUACGGCCGCAAGGUUGAAACUCAAAUGAA